rnacentral:rRNA from 1 species
AUUGAACGCUGGCGGCGUGCUUAACACAUGCAAGUCGAUCGGUAACGCGGGGGCAACCCUGGCGACGAGAGGCGGACGGGUGAGUAACGCUUGGGAAUCUGCCCAUCAGCGGGGGACAACCCGGGGAAACCCGGGCUAAUACCGCAUACGCUCCACGGAGGAAAGCAGGGGACCGCAAGGCCUUGCACUGAUGGAUGAGCCCAAGCCGGAUUAGCUAGUUGGCGGGGUAACGGCCCACCAAGGCGACGAUCCGUAGCUGGUCUGAGAGGACGAUCAGCCACACCGGAACUGAGACACGGUCCGGACUCCUACGGGAGGCAGCAGUGGGGAAUAUUGGACAAUGGGGGAAACCCUGAUCCAGCGACGCCGCGUGGGUGAAGAAGGCCUGCGGGUUGUAAAGCCCUUUCGGUAGGGACGAAAGCUCUCGACCUAACACGUCGGGAGGUUGACUUAACCU